UACGUAGGGUGCAAGCGUUAAUCGGAAUUACUGGGCGUAAAGCGUGCGCAGGCGGUGAUGUAAGACAGUUGUGAAAUCCCCGGGCUCAACCUGGGAACUGCAUCUGUGACUGCAUCGCUGGAGUGCGGCAGAGGGGGAUGGAAUUCCGCGUGUAGCAGUGAAAUGCGUAGAGAUGUGGAGGAACACCGAUGGCGAAGGCAGCCCCCUGGGCUGAGAUUGACGCUCAGGCACGAAAGCGUGGGGAGCAAACAGG
rnacentral:rRNA from 1 species